UGGGGAAUAUUGGACAAUGGGCGAAAGCCUGAUCCAGCCAUGCCGCGUGUGUGAAGAAGGUCUUCGGAUUGUAAAGCACUUUAAGUUGGGAGGAAGGGCAGUAAGCGAAUACCUUGCUGUUUUGACGUUACCGACAGAAUAAGCACCGGCUAACUCUGUGCCAGCAGCCGCGGUAAUACAGAGGGUGCAAGCGUUAAUCGGAAUUACUGGGCGUAAAGCGCGCGUAGGUGGUUCUUUAAGUUGAAUGUGAAAGCCCCGGGCUCAACCUGGGAACUGCAUCCAAAACUGGCGAGCUAGAGUAGGGCAGAGGGUGGUGGAAUUUCCUGUGUAGCGGUGAAAUGCGUAGAUAUAGGAAGGAACACCAGUGGCGAAGGCGACCACCUGGGCUCAUACUGACACUGAGGUGCGAAAGCGUGGGGAGCAAACAGG
rnacentral:rRNA from 1 species